AUUGAACGCUGGCGGCAGGCCUAACACAUGCAAGUCGAACGAGUGGCGGACGGGUGAGUAAUGUCUGGGAAACUGCCUGAUGGAGGGGGAUAACUACUGGAAACGGUAGCUAAUACCGCAUACCAUCGGAUGUGCCCAGAUGGGAUUAGCUAGUAGGUGGGGUAACGGCUCACCUAGGCGACGAUCACUAGCUGGUCUUAGAGGAUGACCAGCCACACUGGAACUGAGACACUGUCCAGACUCGUACGGGAGGCAGCAGUGGGGAAUAUUGCACAAUGGGCGCAAGCCUGAUGCAGCCAUGCCGCGUGUAUGAAGAAGGCCUUCGGGUUGUAAAGUACUUUCAGCGGGGAGGCGUUACCCGCAGAAGAAGCACCGGCUAACUCCGUGCCAGCAGCCGCGGUAAUUC
rnacentral:rRNA from 1 species